rnacentral:rRNA from 1 species
UAAGCCUGUGAAGGUGUGUCGUGAGGCAUGCUGGAGGUAUCAGAAGUGCGAAUGCUGACAUAAGUAACGAUAAAGCGGGUGAAAAGCCCGCUCGCCGGAAGACCAAGGGUUCCUGUCCAACGUUAAUCGGGGCAGGGUGAGUCGACCCCUAAGGCGAGGCCGAAAGGCGUAGUCGAUGGGAAACGGGUUAAUAUUCCCGUACUUGGUGUUACUGCGAAGGGGGGACGGAGAAGGCUAUGUUGGCCGGGCGACGGUUGUCCCGGUUUAAGCGUGUAGGUGUGUGUUCCAGGUAAAUCCGGUUCACUUUAACACUGAGGCGUGACGACGAGGCACUACGGUGCUGAAGCAACAAAUGCCCUGCUUCCAGGAAAAGCCUCUAAGCAUCAGGUAACAUCAAAUCGUACCCCAAACCGACACAGGUGGUCAGGUAGAGAAUACCAAGGCGCUUGAGAGAACUCGGGUGAAGGAACUAGGCAAAAUGGUGCCGUAACUUCGGGAGAAGGCACGCUGACACGUAGGUGAAGUGAUUUACUCAUGGAGCUGAAGUCAGUCGAAGAUACCAGCUGGCUGCAACUGUUUAUUAAAAACACAGCACUGUGCAAACACGAAAGUGGACGUAUACGGUGUGACGCCUGCCCGGUGCCGGAAGGUUAAUUGAUGGGGUCAGCGCAAGCGAAGCUCCUGAUCGAAGCCCCGGUAAACGGCGGCCGUAACUAUAACGGUCCUAAGGUAGCGAAAUUCCUUGUCGGGUAAGUUCCGACCUGCACGAAUGGCGUAAUGAUGGCCAGGCUGUCUCCACCCGAGACUCAGUGAAAUUGAACUCGCUGUGAAGAUGCAGUGUACCCGCGGCAAGACGGAAAGACCCCGUGAACCUUUACUAUAGCUUGACACUGAACAUUGAGCCUUGAUGUGUAGGAUAGGUGGGAGGCUUUGAAGUGUGGACGCCAGUCUGCAUGGAGCCGACCUUGAAAUACCACCCUUUAAUGUUUGAUGUUCUAACGUGGACCCGUGAUCCGGGUUGCGGACAGUGUCUGGUGGGUAGUUUGACUGGGGCGGUCUCCUCCUAAAGAGUAACGGAGGAGCACGAAGGUUGGCUAAUCCUGGUCGGACAUCAGGAGGUUAGUGCAAUGGCAUAAGCCAGCUUGACUGCGAGCGUGACGGCGCGAGCAGGUGCGAAAGCAGGUCAUAGUGAUCCGGUGGUUCUGAAUGGAAGGGCCAUCGCUCAACGGAUAAAAGGUACUCCGGGGAUAACAGGCUGAUACCGCCCAAGAGUUCAUAUCGACGGCGGUGUUU